UGGAUGAGCCUAUAUCGGAUUAGCUAGUUGGUGGGGUAACGGCUCACCAAGGCGACGAUCCGUAGCUGGUCUGAGAGGAUGAUCAGCCACACUGGGNCUGAGACACGGCCCAGACUCCUACGGGAGGCAGCAGUGGGGAAUAUUGGACAAUGGGGGAAANCCUGAUCCAGNNNNNNCGCGUGUGUGAAGAAGGCCUUC
rnacentral:rRNA from 1 species